rnacentral:rRNA from 1 species
GACGAACGCUGGCGGCGUGCUUAACACAUGCAAGUCGAGCGGUAAGGCCCUUUCGGGGGUACACGAGCGGCGAACGGGUGAGUAACACGUGAGCAAUCUGCCCUUCACAUCGGGAUAACUUCGGGAAACCGAAGCUAAUACCGAAUACGACCACCGAUGGCAUCUUCUGGUGGUGGAAAGUUCCGGCGGUGAAGGAUGAGCUCGCGGCCUAUCAGCUUGUUGGUGGGGUAAUGGCCUACCAAGGCGACGACGGGUAGCCGGCCUGAGAGGGUGACCGGCCACACUGGGACUGAGACACGGCCCAGACUCCUACGGGAGGCAGCAGUGGGGAAUAUUGGACAAUGGGCGAAAGCCUGAUCCAGCAACGCCGCGUGAGGGAUGACGGCCU